CGGAAAACGAUUUGGAUUUGUAAAGGACUCUUGGUCGAUAUUUUACCAUUCUAUUAAGGAAACAUUGCCGGAGAGUCUAAGAAAGACGAGUAGGCGUACAAGUCUUUUCCACUUUCACAUAACAAGCCAGUUAUUUAGAGAACCAUGGACAACCAAGGAAGUCAAAGCUCUGGAGAAAAUGCACAGCCCAAAAAUCCGAUGACUAAAGAAGAUGCGGCAAGGAUUCAGAGUUCAGAAGCAAAACAGCAUGGCGGCGGGGUUCCAAAAGGAGGCUUUUCAUCGCGAGCUCAGUCUACUGCAGACAAGCGGGAAAACCAGAAGAACUAAAUGCCUGUGGAACUGCCUUUUAAUUCAAAGGGGGCAUGAUUUCGUACAUUAAAAUUUGUGAGAGACAUUUAGUCAUUGUUUAAUCUUUAAAAGUAGGAUUGUCCUUAAACUACGAUUCGAAUUUCUUGCUGAAUAAUCAUCAUCUACUUGUAGUCGUAGCAGUUUAUCUGACUAUUUAGAGAAAUGAGUGAAGUACAAUGGAAGCAACUGAAAUAAAGUGGUUAUCUAAAAAUGUUACCAGCCGA